UGGCAAUGAUGUCUGAAUUUCUUCACCUGAAUCAUCUGUGUGGAACCAAACAUACGAGCUUUUUAACCCUGAGCAGA